CGCGGCCUAUCAGCUUGUUGGUGGGGUGACGGCCUACCAAGGCGACGACGGGUAGCCGGCCUGAGAGGGUGUCCGGCCACACUGGGACUGAGAUACGGCCCAGACUCCUACGGGAGGCAGCAGUGGGGAAUAUUGCACAAUGGGCGCAAGCCUGAUGCAGCGACGCCGCGUGGGGGAUGACGGCCUUCGGGUUGUAAACCUCUUUCACCAUCGACGAAGGUCCGGGUUUUCUCGGAUUGACGGUAGGUGGAGAAGAAGCACCGGCCAACUACGUGCCAGCAGCCGCGGUAAUACGUAGGGUGCGAGCGUUGUCCGGAAUUACUGGGCGUAAAGAGCUCGUAGGUGGUUUGUCACGUUGUUCGUGAAAUCUCACGGCUUAACUGUGAGCGUGCGGGCGAUACGGGCAGACUGGAGUACUGCAGGGGAGACUGGAAUUCCUGGUGUAGCGGUGGAAUGCGCAGAUAUCAGGAGGAACACCGGUGGCGAAGGCGGGUCUCUGGGCAGUAACUGACACUGAGGAGCGAAAGCGUGGGGAGCGAACAGGAUUAGAUACCCUGGUAGUCCACGCCGUAAACGGUGGGUACUAGGUGUGGGUUUCCUUCCUUGGAAUCCGUGCCGUAGCUAACGCAUUAAGUACCCCGCCUGGGGAGUACGG
rnacentral:rRNA from 1 species